AAGGGAAAGAGGGAAACGGGAAAGGGAAGAGGAGAGGAAAAAAGAGAAAAGAGUUAUUGUUGUUUUGUUGUUGUUGUCCAAACUUCUCUUAUUUCUUUCUUCGUUUGUCAUUUUGCUUUUGUUCUUCCUCUCUCUUUCUCUU
rnacentral:RNase_P_RNA from 13 species